rnacentral:tRNA from 1 species
GGCGAUGUAGCUCAGUUGGUUAGAGCGUCGGAUUCAUAUCCCGAAGGUCGGCAGUUCAACUCUGCCCAUCGCUACCA